CUUUUUGCCUGUUAAUGAGAAACAGAAUUAAUUGGUUCUACAGAGGCCAAUUUUAAUUGAGUUAAAAGACAAAUACUUUAGAGUAGGAAAGGACCUUAGAGACACUGAAUUUAAUCCCUUCUUAUAGGACCAGAGAGGGUGAAAGCCUUGCUCAAGAACGCAGAGCCACAGGGAAUGCAGUGCGUAGGGAAGACCGCGUUUCAUCCAGUGGUCACUCAGGUCGUGUGGGCUCAGGCCCUGUCCUGCUAAUUGACUCUCUCUACACAUGCAUCUGGGAAGGAAUUGAGGAUUUAGAUUCAGGAGGCAGAAGACCUAAGCCUUCUGCUCCAAUUCCCUUCUUUACCAGGGGUCAUCAGAUGCUGGCUUGGAAG
ensembl:lncRNA